rnacentral:tRNA from 1 species
UAGAACGUAGCAUAAACUUAAUGUCUUUCACUUACACUGAAAUGAUGGCUAUGAAUUAGCCCGUUUUAA